rnacentral:rRNA from 1 species
UGGGGAAUAUUGCGCAAUGGGCGGAAGCCUGACGCAGCGACGCCGCGUGGGGGAUGACGGCCUUCGGGUUGUAAACCUCUUUCGGCCCCGACGAAGCGUGAGUGACGGUAGGGGUAGAAGAAGCACCGGCCAACUACGUGCCAGCAGCCGCGGUAACACGUAGGGUGCGAGCGUUGUCCGGAAUUAUUGGGCGUAAAGAGCUCGUAGGCGGUGUGUCGCGUCGGCCGUGAAAACCUGCAGCUUAACUGUGGGCUUGCGGUCGAUACGGGCAUCACUGGAGUUCGGCAGGGGAGACUGGAAUUCCUGGUGUAGCGGUGAAAUGCGCAGAUAUCAGGAGGAACACCGGUGGCGAAGGCGGGUCUCUGGGCCGAUACUGACGCUGAGGAGCGAAAGCGUGGGGAGCGAACAGGAUUAGAUACCCUGGUAGUCCACGCCGUAAACGUUGGGCGCUAGGUGUGGGGGCCAUUCCACGGUCUCUGUGCCGUAGCUAACGCAUUAAGCGCCCCGCCUGGGGAGUACGG